GGUUUUCUGCAGUGAAGAGAAAAUACAAACACAUACACUUUUAUGAGAUUCAGCUGUUUCAGCAAUUUCUUUCCAUAAUCAAUUCAAUCAAAUAAACAGCCCUAUCAGAUUAAUUUAACUCUAUUCAACAAAUAUUAAUUACACUGUGAUCAACAAAAUAGAUCAAGUCCCUGAAUGGAAGGAAGAUCUAUUCUACUGGGAUAUACAAACAGAUUAACCUAUGAAGAAAACUGAAGCAAGACAAGGUGAGAAGGAUGACAAGAGAUGCUAUUUGGAUGGAAAAGUCUGGGAAAACAUCUCUGUAGAGUUGUUACUUUAGCAAAGGCCUGAAUAAUGUAAGGAAGGGAGCCAUGGAAACCCCGGAACUGGGAGAAGAGUGUUCUAAUUAGAAGGAAAGAAGGAAAUGCAAAGACCCAAAGUGGGAAUGGGCUCAGUACAUCAAAAGACCAGCAAGGUGUGUGGCUGGAACAGAGUGAGCAACAGGAAGAGUGGUAGGAAAUGAUGAUAAAGUGGCUACCGGGGACCACACAUAGGACUUCAAAGGCCAUGGGAAGAAUUUUGGACUUUGUUCUGGGUGUAAAACAAUGUUGUUUUGAACAGGAGUGUGUUCUUGUAUCACUUUGGCUGCUGUGUGGCUAACUUUAGAAAGGGCAAAAAGGAAUCAGGGAGACAAGAUUAUCCCAGUAAUUCAACUAAGAAAUAAGGGUAGCUUGGUCUACAGUAUCUAGGGGUUUGUUAAAAACCAUUCACUCCUUCACAGUGGUGACUAACCUGGCUACACUCAGAGUCCUGCACUAAAAGACAAUGUGAACCAUUUGAAAUCAGAAGACUCCAAGCCUAAGGACAACAGUCAACAUGGUAUUGAGGUGGCACAGCAGAAGAACAAAGAAAAAUAGGUCAUGGUUGGCAUCGUUGGUCUGUCUGAACUACUACUCCCAGAACUACUCUACAUGUGGAAUUCUAAAUGAGUGUGAAAAAAUUAUUUAAAUGUAUUCCCAAUAGAAGACGCUGCCUCUGCUGUCAAGAUAUAAUGUUUAAAUAAUGUUUACACUUGGAAGUUCUUUACUUCCAAAUCAGACCUUCACUCCUUCAACCCACAGCACCCGUCUCCACCACCACCACCACACCUUCUCCAACACCACCACUCCUUGGAAGCGACAAUCCUGUGUCAUCUGACCUCUGCAUGCAGCCCUGAUCCUGCUCACGACUCACCAAGAUCUCCUUUCCCUUGACUUCCAGGAACCACAGACUACUAGGAAAGGGACGAGCUGGAGCAGGGAAUAAAAGGAGGCCUCCAGAUUCAGCCACUCUGUUAAUACUACUCACAGGUAAUUCAUAUAGACUAGAUAAAAGUAUACCUAGAGGGAUCCGCUUUCCCAACUGAUGGUAAAAGACUGAUAUGUGAUUUGAGCUAACCUCAGAAGCAAACCUCUGACAUAAUUCUGGAGAAUGUGGCCGCCAGAAAGCACAGGAAGCAUCUGUUCGUAGUGAAGCUGGUGGCUACUCUAUUUUGUGCAUACUGAGAGCAGGAUCAUCACCACUACCUUUUCUUCCACUCAUCUUCCCCUCAGGACUUCAAAAUAGACUAUUAGGAUAAGAUGGAAACAAAGCUUCAAAGUUCAUUAAUUUGAAAUAAGACUUGUGCAUCUUUCCUUCAACCAUAUCAGAUACAAUAUUCUGGGGUUAAUCCUCAAAAAAUAUUUUAAAUAUUGCUACAUUAUUCAUUUUCUUUUCCAGUUGAAGAUUAUCUUCAAAUAUGGAAACUAUUUAAUGAAGAUAUAAUUUAUCAAAAUAAGUUUGACUUCCCUCCUGAGCUUGAUCAGCUAGCAGGCACUAAUAGCAGAAAAGCGCACAGCUUAAACCACCAGUUGUGAAAGCUCCCCUUUUCAACAUCUUAGGCAGAUGCUGCUACUGACACACGCAAUGGGUGUAAGAAGAAACCAAGAAAGGGGAAAACAAAAAAGAGCCUAACAUGUUUAACAUGCAGCUGAGAUACCACUCUGCAGUCUACAGAUCAGCUGCAACACAGAAUGAACAGAAACUAAGGCCUCAGCUAACCAACGAUACUGUAAUCUUUCUUCUUGAGUAUGGCCAAAAGAAAAUAUUUGUUUCAUUUAUUGUAUGCAAAACCUAAAAAUUAUUCUAUUUUCCCAAUGAACCUAAAGAAAAAUAUAAAAUGUUCCCAUGUCAGAGUCUGUAGCCUUCUGAACAAAGUUUGAUGACCCACAAAUGCUAAUUUCAUAGCAAAUGCUACUAGGCAGAUCUUCUGACAUACAGAAAUUCAAAACCUCCUGUACUAACUAGAUAAAACUUCGCAGUAAUGAGGUAGAGACAGAAAAACUUGGUUAAAAAAAAAAUUUGUCUCACCUUCUAACAAAUAUUUCAUGCUUUGAGUAGUCAAUGAAUACAAAGGCACUAUGGUCAGGACAGGCAGGAAAGAGCCAUGUACACUUACACACGCACUUUCAGGGAACAGCUAUGAGAGCUCUAGGAUUUUAUUUUGUCCUGAUUAUACUGACACAUGAUUAAGAAGAAAUUUCAUAUUCAGCACAUAAGCAGUUUUUCUUUUUACAUAAUUGAAAACUAGUUUGCUGCUAUACCUACUGAAUGACAAUUGAAAGACAAUACUAACCAUAUAAAAUGAAUAAAAUAUGUGUAGAAUAUUGGAAGGAAAAGUAAGCUUCCUGAAAAAAAGACUUCAGUAUAUAUGAUUAGUCUAAAAGAAAAUCCAACCUUUGAAUUCAAAUAGCAUAACAAAGACAAAAAUGAAUCUAUAAGCAGAAAGAUAGAAAAGUGGAAAGCUUUUGCACAUAAAAAUGUUGUUUUCAGUAUCUUUUCUCAAACAGAUUUCUCAAACACAGACUCAAGAAUAGUGUACCAUAAAAAGCAGUGCUAAGUAUGACAAAAGCCAACUUCAUUAUGAUAAAGUAUUUUGCAAAUUACAAUCCAUAGGCUAGAGAAGAAAAAUUUAACAUGCUUAACUCAUGAUUUUAAUUUCUAGAAAUAUGCUAUUAACUUCAGCUAGAUCAUUAGUGGAAAAAAAAUCGUUUUUUUCUAAGUCCGCAAAAAAAAAUAGGGAAUAUGUUUUAAAGGUAGACCAUGUAACUAUCCAAACUAGGGCACUUUUGAGACCAUAAGGGGGCACUAUUCACAGCAACAAGUAUAAAUCAGGACUAUUUCAGAUAAAACAAGAUACAUAACUACUCUAUAUAAAGGUGAGGAAAUUUACAGAUUCUGUUGUCGAGUUAAAAUGUUUUUAGUUUCCAGGAAUUACUGACAUCAAUUUGUUUGGCAUCUUCUUUAUGUUUGGAAGAAAAUGAUGUAUGAAAUUUGUGUAAGUGGCAGAAUUAAUGGGCCAUAUAGAAGAGGCUAAGCAACAACCCUCUGGCCCUCCAGCUAAAGAGGUGCUCUGGUUUUGCAUUCCAUAGUCGCAGUUAUUUGGACUCUCCUUCAAGAUCUGACAAUUUCCUUGUAACUGACAGGAAAAAAGGCAGUUGGGGAUCAAGAUAGCUGGAAAUAGUUAAAAGAUAUUAAACCUAUUACCUAGCCAAAUUAUCAACCAACCACAGAUCACUGUACCCUCUCUAAAAAAUACUUUAUCUUCAAUUUUUAACCUACUAGAAUUUCAAGAACUGCUUAUAAGAAAGUCACAUAUCCAAGUUCAUAAACAGCAUUCUCACGCCAUUUCUACACUACUAGUGAAGCAUUAUUCCAUGAUCUAAUUUUCUUCAUUGAAUUUCCUAUAAUUUUCCUCACUGAAUUAUCAAGAUAAUAGUAAUAUAGUAAAAUAAAAGCUAGAGCAUUUACAUUAAGUGCCACAAACUGUUGUUCUAAGCACAUUGCAGAUACACACACACACACACUCAAUCAUCACAAGAAGCCUGAAAGCUGUGAUUAUUGAAGUGGUUAUUGAAGAGUGGAGGGUGUGAGUUCUGGAGCCAGAAGGCCUGGAUUCCAAUCCCAGCUUCACUAGCUGUAGCAUCCUUGGGGUAAGUGACCUAAACUACCUGUGUCUCAGUGCUAUCAUCUGUAAAGUGAAGAUAAUAACUAACUCAUAGGGUGAAUGUGAGUCUUAAAACGAUACACGUAAAGAUCUUAGAACAGCUCGGCUCCUGAGUAUCAGUAAUGAUCAUUAUCUUCAUAUCAUAUUUGCCUCAGAUAAAGAAACUGAGGCAAAUUUGUUAAACUACUUUUCUGGGGUCAGAAAGCUAGGAAGUGGCAAAGUCAAGAUUCAGACCUAUAGUCUGGGUCUGCAGUCCAGGCUCUUAAUCACUGUUACACUGACUCCAAAGACAUCUUGCCCAUUGUUUCAAACCAUCAAUGGCAGGUUUCUCUGUAUUCUGAAAAGAAAUGUUUUAAGAACCAUGCUAUUGCCACAACCAAAGUACAAAGACAUGAAGCACUCACUGCUACCCACAUCUAAGUGACAUUUAACACUGCAGGUCCUACCCCAAAACCUGGAGCCAUUUCCAGCCCCCAGCUGCUCUAGAGACAGGGAUUAUGGUUUCAUACCCAAAACUGCCCUAGAUAUUCCAACCAGUGGGUCUCAAAGAUCUUCUGAAAACUCAGAACAUGUCAGUGCUGGCAAGUACAGAAAUAGAUCAGAGGAGAGUCUAGCCCCCUUCCUACACUGUUUCUCCUUCAACAGCAAAUUCUAAUGGAGGCAGGCUUUGCUGUUCCUUUACUUCAUUUCUGAUAGAAUAUUUUAUUCAGAAAGAAUUCAAAGGCAAUGAAAGAUCACCUUACCUU